rnacentral:rRNA from 1 species
UACGUAGGGUGCAAGCGUUAAUCGGAAUUACUGGGCGUAAAGCGUGCGUAGGCGGCUACGUAAGUCGGAUGUGAAAUCCCUGGGCUUAACCUGGGAACUGCAUUCGAUACUGCGUGGCUAGAGUACGGUAGAGGGUGGCGGAACUCCGGGUGUAGCGGUGAAAUGCGUAGAUAUCCGGAAGAACACCGAUGGCGAAGGCAACCACCUGGGCCUGUACUGACGCUGAGGCACGAAAGCGUGGGGAGCAAACAGG